UGAUGAAGGCAGAGAGGCUGGCAUAGCAUCCUGCUGCUACCUAACAAUCCUGCUGCCACCUAACAAUCCUGCGGCCAUGAAGUUGUCGUCUUGCCUCUCUUCCCGGCAUGCCAUGUGCGCGCUGAUGGCGAUCCUCCUGGCCAUCGCCGUCUCCUGCUCCGUCGUCGUCCACUGCUCCAAGGUUGAAGAAGACCCCAACGCCCCCAUCCAUGGUGCUCCCGCAGCGCAUCUGGACGGAGGUCGCCAGGGCUUGGCGCCGCCGCCGCCGCGCGGCGGCCCCGUGCGCGCGUACUUCAUCGAACCGCCGCCGCCGCCGCAGCAGCGGCGCCGCGUUUAGCACCUGAGCCGGAAGAUGGGCCGGAUCGUCGGAGCUCGAAGCAACGCCAGCGCUUGGUGUCGUUCGUUGGUGAUGAAUUGGUGAUGACGAUCCCUCGUCACGUUGUUUGGUUAGUUCCGCAUCUGGUGGUGUCACUACUAAGAGAUGGAGCGCAGGUCGACUUUCCAAUAAGUUUUACUUGUUGUACAGCAUCAACUCGCUGAAUUGUUUGGUUAAUUGUGCCGCUGUGAAUUGGACUAGUACAAGUCUACAAUGAUCACUCGCUGUCCA